rnacentral:rRNA from 1 species
UACAGAGGGUGCAAGCGUUGUUCGGAAUUAUUGGGCGUAAAGCGCGUGUAGGCGGUCCAUCAAGUCGGGUGUGAAAGCCCUCGGCUCAACCGAGGAAGUGCGCCCGAAACUAAUAGACUUGAGUGCCGGAGAGGGUGGCGGAAUUCCCGGUGUAGAGGUGAAAUUCGUAGAUAUCGGGAGGAACACCAGUGGCGAAGGCGGCCACCUGGACGGUAACUGACGCUGAGACGCGAAAGCGUGGGGAGCAAAC